UUCUGGAAGUUCACCAUGAUACUUCCCACCACUCUAAGGAUACAUGGUUCACCCUAGUCCAAGAAUCAAACCCUAACAAAAAGGGAUGAACAGCAGAGAAGGGAGAUGUGAGUCCUGCCUGGACCAACACGGAUUAAGGAAGGCAUCUAGGAGAUGAAACCCAAAUAGAAGAUUCUUGGAGUUCAUCAUCCAAUGUGAUCUCAUUACACUCAGCCCUGUCCUUCAACACACUCACAAUGGAGCCCUUUGAUCUCUUCCUUGGGUCAUGGACUGAUGAUGAUGGCUCAUAAACCAGAUCAACUGAUACAGUUUCUCACCCAAAUUCCCUCCUCGCAUAUGGUUCUCUCCUUCCUGCCCAAGGCUACUGACUGUAUGUACAGUGUAUGCUGAAAGCACACUCACUCCUGGAAGGUGACACCUCACAGAAACCAUAGACACAGCUUAAUCGAUGAUCAUUAUAAGAAGCUCUGCCAAUACCUUGGACUAAAGCUCCUGAAAGGGGGACUUCCAUGUCAGGAUUGCCUUCUUUCACUAGCAUACACCUCAGCCUCCAUGGCUACUGUUGGUCUCCUGGCACCCUCUCCAACCAAUCCAAUCUGUUAGCUCAGAAUCCGACCUUCCCAUUGGCUGCUGCCUCGUUUAUGACACCAUUCUCUCUCCAACUCAACCUACCAACCCUGGUAGGUUCUUGGGGUUGCCAUGGCAAUGCCUGUAAACAAAUUUGGAUCAUCACAGGUCACCUGUGACCAGUGACCAGUAAGUGCUGUCUGAUACCGGACACACUUGCGACUCAGGUCAGCUGAUUAGACAAGGACAAGCAAAUUCUCUUGCUCCAUUGUACUGUGGACUACUGAUACUCUUCCUCUGACCAUGGCAGGCUUUUUAGCAGCAGUUCAGCUGAGAUCCAUUCCAGUGAGAACUCAGAGACUUUCAGUCUGAGGAAACAAGAUCAACUGUGGAGUUAAUGAGAAAGGACCGACCAAAGCCUAUUUAGAUUCCAGCCAGAAAUGUCAACAUCACCCCACCAACCAAAAAGAUGGCUCAUCUCUCAUUGGCUGGUCAGGGACGGAGAAGGCUGAAGAAACCCCACCCCUUGUAAACAACAAAAUCUCCGGAAAGGACAUCCAUGAUCUGGUGGCAACUGCACAAGCCAUAUGUUGUUCCCCACCCCAUCCUCCUUUCUGCUAUUUUAAUGGCAGCCUUUGUUAUAUUACAGGCCUGCCUGCCACUGUUUAACCCUCUAGUUCUCAACUCACACCCAACACUGGUAUUUUUUUUCCCUUCAGGAAACCUAUGAGGAUAAAAAUCUAUGAGAGUGGAUCCAUGGAUUACCCCAACCAAGGAUGCUGUUUCUGUUUCAAAAUGUAAAUAAUCAUUUCACCAUUAUAAUAGAUGACCUCUGAAAUGAAAGAUAAAGAGCAAGAGUCGUGGAAAAACUGCAUCCCACUGGUUAAGCUGUGUAUCCCUCUGCUGCUAUUCAUAUUUCCCAAGAGCUGGUGCGGACCUCCCAGUCCACACUAACCCAUAAAAAUAUUCUUCAGCGGGAGAUAUAGCUAAGAAGACAUGCGCAGUCCACCCUAGCUACAGUAUGUUAAGUAUGUUGUUAACUUUCUCCCUUUCACCAUCCACCCUAAUGCAUCUAACUGCUUCUUUUAUACAACCAACAAUAGACCUCUGCUGACUCUCCUUUACCCCAAGACAAUGUCUCACUAACAUCACUAUUUCCAGGCUGACAGGCAUCACCCUUCCCCUUCCUCUUUGCUGUAAGAGAAAGCUAACUUCCUGCAUAGACACCCCCUGUGAGGGUUUUGCACCACAGCUGUGAUUAUUCCAUAGGUCUAUCUAUAUGAGGAGAAAGAAUUGACACUGCUUCUAACCAAAGAUGAAAGAUAUUCCUUCCGUUACUGUUAGAAAUAGAACUUGCCAUCUCCCUUGGAUGUUCUGGGGCUACAACAACAACCAUUGUCCAGACACUCAUCUAGCUAGAGACUUCAGAUACAGACUUGAUCAGACCAUAGCAUCCACACCUGAGAGCCUUGAGUCACUUCAAAGACAAAUGAACUCUCUUGUUGGAGUUUUACUCCAAAACAGAAGAUCACUGGACCUAAUAACUGCUGAACAUGGGGGGACUUGUAUGGUCUUGAGAGAAGAACAUUAUUUCUUUGUCAAUGAGUCCAAUUUAAUGGAACAAAAUGUAAAGACACUUGAAGCCCCAUGCAAAGAUCUCCAGGCCCAGCAUCAGUCCCAGAAAUCUUUAUCCUGGAUCCAUAACCCCUUGUUUUCCUGGCUCCUAUGCUUUAUUGGUUCUCUGAUUAUGCUGUGUUUUAUUUUGAUGCUUGCCCCCUGCUUUAUUCAAUUCCUCUGGCCACAGAUCACCACCAUUGCUAAACUUACCAGCAAUGAGGUCAUGGUUCACUACCAUGCCCUGGACCCUUCUGAAAUGGGCAACAGGUUUCAUAGGACUUACAAUGACACCUCUCCAUUAUAAAAUAAGGCAGGGGGAGAUGUUAGAAGACGUUGUUGGCUGAUAGAGGUUGCACUCUACUCUACCACAGCUUGGCAGUUUUCUCUAAGCUUCACAAUAUGGAAAAGCCCUCCCUCCCCAGCAAAGCUUCCCCCUCUCUACCCAGCCUUAUCUGAAGGAUGUCUCUAGGCCCAGGAUGCCUGACUUAUUCCAAGGGUGACCCUUUACGUAGCAUAGUUCCCUGAAAAGGCUCUCUCCUUGUUGACUCACAUGGUAAUUAGGCAAGUGCUCUAGCCAUUUUGAUAGGACCUUACUGCCAAAUACAAAGCCUUAUAAUAGAAGUGUGUCACUUAAUGCAAAUUAGGGUUCAUCCCCAGGCUCCCCAAUCCUACAUAUUUCUUAUACUUUGGGAUAAAGUUGAGUUGAUUCACCAAAAUCUAUCUCCCUGAGAGCUGUCUCCAUUAGUGUUCAUGGGCCGCAUACAAAGCUUUCUGUGUCUGCCACUGACUCUUGCCCUCCCAACCUAGUGGCUGACAGGCCAAGAGGAAAAGAAGACCCCCCACAAAGGAUGGACUUUGGCAGUAACAGUGUUCAAUAUGGUUUCUUAGAUCUUACCAAGUGCAGCACUCCGGCAAGAGAGGAUGGUAACAGGGAGAACAUGCUUGGUAAAGGGAAAUUACUACCCCUUCCACUUGAGGCGUCAUGGAGCUUAAAUCAGUUAUAAAAACAAAGUCCAUUAAAUAAAAAUUUUCUUAAAAUGA